AAAUCUUAUGCACCUACUCCCUCCGUCCCAUAAUAUAAGGGAUUUUGGUCUGUCCAGAUUCAUUGUACUAAGAAUAUGUGUCAUAUCCACCCAAAAUCCCUUAUAUUAUGGGACGGAGGGAGUAAUAAGCUGGGACGGAC
rnacentral:misc_RNA from 1 species